GCACAGUGACCCCGGGGCAUAUGACGCAUAUGUCCCUGGCAGGCAGCGUGACUCGACUCUCUGCCCGGUCGAAACGUAUGCCUCUACCAGCGCCCGACGUUUCAACCGCGGAGACCCGCCACGCGACAAGGCGCGCGUGGGCACGGACCGGCGCCAGGCCCCAAGCUGCUGCCUGUUUAUUACGACGCGGCUUCCUUCCUUGGCCUGGAGCUGCUAUCUAUCUUUGCCUCCUUCCCCCUUCUCUCCCCGUCCAUUUGCUGCUGCUUCUUCUCGACUUUCUCCUCUCCCGCCCUUCAGUCUCUUUGCUGCUCGAGUUCUCUGCUGCUUUGGUUGAUGUUGUUGCUCGUCUCAUGGACAAGUGCUGUUGUUGAUUUUUCAUGAUAUGCACGAGCGGGGGUUUGAUUUCCAUCGCCGCGGCAUGAGAUGAAGGUAGAGCGCACGUGAGCGAGGGCGUCCUUGCCCGAGGCCAAGAGGAAGGAAGGAAGGAGGACGGCGCGGCGCAUCCACGGUUCGGUCCCGUCCCGGCGAGGCAAUCGGUGCAGCGACCGCACCGUACGUGGUCGAGCUCGCAGAUGGGCGUGCCGCCAUUGCCGGCGCCGGCACCGUGUCAGGCAGCCUGCAAUGCAAACCGGCUUACUAAUGCUACGGAAUAACCUAGACAAUUCUCAGAUAAAUGGAAAAGGAACCCACUUGUCACUGGCUUACGGUAAACUUCAAGAGUAUCCUGAUUCCAGUAUAGCCAGAAGAUAUUUUGGCAUCUGCUGUUUUGACAUCACAUGAAUGUUCAUACUUAACUUAGUCCUACCAAACAAAGCUUGCUCACAAGGUUUUCAUUAUCUUUGGCACGAGGUCAGAUUUCUUUAUGCA